rnacentral:rRNA from 1 species
GCAGGCGCGAAACCUUUACACCGUACGCAAGUGCGAUAAGGGGACUCCGAGUGUGAAGGCAUAGAGCCUUCACUUUUGUACACCGUAAGGUGGUGUACGAAUAAGGGCUGGGCAAGACCGGUGCCAGCCGCCGCGGUAAUACCGGCAGCCCGAGUGAUGGCCGAUAUUAUUGGGCCUAAAGCGUCCGUAGCUGGCCGGACAAGUCCGUUGGGAAAUCCGUUYGYUUAACGAGCAGGCGUCCAGCGGAAACUGUUCGGCUUGGGACCGGAAGACCUGAGGGGUACGUCCGGGGUAGGAGUGAAAUCCUGUAAUCCUGGACGGACCACCGGUGGCGAAAGCGCCUCAGGAGGACGGAUCCGACAGUGAGGGACGAAAGCUAGGGUCUCGAACCGGAUUAGAUACCCGGGUAGUCCUAGCUGUAAACGAUGCCCGCUAGGUGUGGCGCAGGCUACGAGCCUGCGCUGUGCCGUAGGGAAGCCGAGAAGCGGGCCGCCUGGGAAGUACGUCUGCAAGGAUGAAACUUAAAGGAAUUGGCGGGGGAGCACUACAACCGGAGGAGCCUGCGGUUUAAUUGGAUUCAACGCCGG